CAUAACCUUUAGCCAACCAAGUAUUAAAGGCGACGCCUGCCCAGUGAAAAUUAAACGGCCGCGGUAUCCUAACCGUGCAAAGGUAGCAUAAUCAUUUGUCUAUUAAUUGUAGACCUGUAUGAAAGGCAAAAUGAGAGCCCAACUGUCUCUUAUAACGAAUCAAUUAAACUGAUCUUCUAGUACAAAAGCUAGAAUACUAACAUAAGACCAGAAGACCCUGUGAAGCUUUAACUAACCUAUUAAGCCCAAUAAUAACUACUUUAGGUUGGGGCGACCUUGGAAUAAAAAAGAACUUCCAAUCUAUGACUCCCUCAUAAGCUAAGGCAAACAAGCCAACACGACCCAGUAUAGCUGACAAUUGAAACAAGUUACUCCAGGGAUAACAGCGCCAUCUUCUUUAAGAGCCCAUAUCAAAAAGAAGGUUUACGACCUCGAUGUUGGAUCAGGACACCCCAGCAAUGCAACCGUUACUAAAGGUUCGUUUGUUCAACGAUUAAUAGUCCUACGUGAUCUGAG
rnacentral:rRNA from 1 species